CCCGCCGGCGGCCACCGCUAUUGGAAUUCGAUUAAGACAUGCGAGUCGAGAGACGUAAGGUCUCGGCGGACCACUGAGUAACACGCGGAUAACAUGCCCUAAGGUGGAGGAUAACCUCGGGAAACUGAGAAUAAUACUCCAUAGAUCUAGGAUGCUGGAAUGCUUCUAAAUCCAAAACUCCGGUGCCUUAGGAUUGGUCUGCGGCGUAUCAGGUUGUAAUGGGUGUAACGUACCUACUAGCCUAUGACGCGUAUGGGCCUUGAGAGAGGAAGCCCACAGAUGGACUCUGAGACAUGAGUCCAGGCCCUACGGGGCGCAGCAGUCGCGAAAACUUCACAAUGGGAGAAAUCCCGAUGAGGGAAUUCCAAGUGCUAGCACUAUGUGUUAGCUGUUCUUUUGUCUAAAAAACAGAAGAAGUAAGGGCCGGGUAAGACGGGUGCCAGCCGCCGCGGUAAUACCCGCGGCCCGAGUGGUGGUCGAUAUUAUUGAGCCUAAAACGUCCGUAGCCGGUCUUGUAAAUCCUUGGGUAAAUCGGCCAGCUUAACUGUCCGAAGUCCGGGGAGACUGCAAGACUUGGGAUCGGGAGAGGUCAGAGGUACUUCUGGGGUAGGGGUAAAAUCCUGUAAUCCUGGAAGACCACCGGUGGCGAACGCGUCUGACUAGAACGAAUUCGACGGUGAGGGACGAAGCCCUGGGGCGCAAACGGGAUUAGAUACCCCGGUAGUCCAGGUGUAACGCUGCGGGCUUGGUGUUGGGGGUCCUUUGUGGG
rnacentral:rRNA from 1 species